UGCUACAAAAACCCGUGUGUAUCCUAAUAUGUUGUUGUCUUCAUGAUUACUUAUUAAAUUCAUGGUUUGACUUGAUAGAGCUACAAGAUGUUCUUCCUUCUAUCAUCAACCAAUUGGGUAUGCUACUCUUUGACUUACUGAGGCCAUCCAAUAAAUUUUUUAGUUUAAUAAUCUUUUAAUGUGAUUUAUAAGCCUGUGCUGGCACUUGGGCUUCAAGUAUUUGACUUUCAUUUUAUUAUUUGUCCAGUGAGUAUGCUACUCUGUGUGACUUGGUGAGACCAGCUAAUAAAUAGUUUACUUAAUAAUCAAAAAGUUGAUAUAUAAUUGUGUACUGGCGAUUGGGCUUGAAAUUGAGUAAUUCGCUUCUGAGCAGGGGCUCAGAUGCUCCCGCUGACGAAAAAAUAAAAAUAAAUACUAAAAAAAUCCAAAAAACUCCAAUUUUUCUUUGAGUACUAGAUAAUUUGAUGCGCAAGUUCCGCUCCAAAUUUCAUAUCAUUUGGACAUUCGAGCAUCUCUCAGCAAAAAAGACAAAUUGUGUCAAAAAAAUUGUAAACACUUAACCUUUUUCACAAACCCAGAUUUUGUCUUUUUUGUUUGGAGCGCCUCAGAUCCCCAAAUGAACUCAAAAUUUGAGCGGGCCUCGCGCAUCUAAUUAUCUCCCACACAAAAAAAAUUGGAUUUUUUUGAAUUUUUUAUAUAUUUGUUUUGAUUUUUUCCGUCGGCCCGGGUGCAGAUGCACCCGGGAGCCAAAACGCCGCACCCCUUGAAAUUUAUAAUCUCUGUUUUAUGAAUAGGUAGUAUUAAUUGACGAAUGUUUCGUUUUGUUAUCUGUUGAGUGACUCACGUUACCUGUUAUCUUUCAUGUAUGAAAAUUAAUAUCAAGCCAUAUUGUUACAUUAUACUUCUCCUUCCUUUGCUCAGCUCAGUUAAAUGAGCUGACGGUUAGUGUUUUUAUCAAUUGGCAAUUGAUAGUCAUCCUGUUUAUUACCUCUCUGGUGUUCUUUCUCUAGCUUCGACACAUCGAUGCUUGUUUAGUUCCUGUUAUGUACUGUAUGUAGUACAAAAGAAAGACCAACAUGGUUCUAAAAUCUGUCUAUUUUUUGCAGGUCCUGACAACAUGAAGCACCUCGAAGAGGAUCGCCGAGGAGAUGCAGAAGCAGGUGGCUGCUGCAUGCGCCAUCCAGCCCAAGGAGGAGAACGACUUGGAGUUUGGAUGUAUUAUGUAAAUUUGGGAGAUGUAUUAUGUGAACCAGUGAGAUGUAUUAUGUGAAUCUGGAAGAUGU
rnacentral:lncRNA from 1 species